rnacentral:tRNA from 2 species
GCGCUCGUAGCUCAGGUGGAUAGAGCGUCGGUUUCCUAAACCGAAGGUCGUGGGUUCGAGUCCCGCCGAGCGUA